rnacentral:lncRNA from 1 species
GCCGGCUGCGUGCGGGACCAACACGCGGCGGCACCCCGGCGGAGGCCCGGGGCGUAGCGGAAGCCGAGAGCCCCGCGGACGCGAGGAGCCCACAGCGCCCCUUCCGGCGGGCGCGCCCACGGGGAGCGGCUCUCAUUUUACUGGGAAUGAGACGCUGCGGAGGCCAGUGACAAACCAUUCUGGACCCUUAAACUGGGAGAACGACCCCAAAUUGACACAGAUUAAGAAAAUGAAAGACCCCACCCCAUUUCGGGUUGCCACAAAAUAAAAACGGAAGUCUGACAUAGAGAAAGGAACCUACUGGAGGUCUCAGCUGAAACUGAAACUUAAGCACCUGGUUUUCUCCUAGACUGAGGACAUCAACUGCACUGUAACGGCCUGCCACUUCCAAGUUCCUUAGACCUUUUCAGAGAUCACAGGCUGAGCACCAGAGGGAGCAGUUGCUAAUUUUAAUGUCUUCCUUCACCAACAAACACCAAAUUCCAGUUCUGUGCUAGGCUUUGCACUACAAACCAGGAAUUCA